ACACGAGGAAACUUGUGCUAAUACCUCAUAAGUCUUCACGGAGAAAGCUUUACGCGCCGAUGGAUGAGCCUGCACUUGAUUAGUUUGUUGGUAGGGUAAUGGCCUACCAAGACAAUGAUCAAUAGCUGAUUUGAGAGGAUGAUCAGCCACAUUGGGACUGAGACACGGCCCAAACUCCUACGGGAGGCAGCAGUAGGGAAUCUUGCACAAUGGGGGAAACCCUGAUGCAGCGAUGCCGCGUGAGUGAAGAAGGCCUUUGGGUUGUAAAGCUCUUUCGUCGGGGAAGAAAAUGACUGUACCCGAAUAAGAAG
rnacentral:rRNA from 1 species